GUGGGGAAUAUUGGACAAUGGGCGCAAGCCUGAUCCAGCCAUGCCGCGUGAGUGAUGAAGGCCCUAGGGUUGUAAAGCUCUUUCACCGGAGAAGAUAAUGACGGUAUCCGGAGAAGAAGCCCCGGCUAACUUCGUGCCAGCAGCCGCGGUAAUACGAAGGGGGCUAGCGUUGUUCGGAAUUACUGGGCGUAAAGCGCACGUAGGCGGACAUUUAAGUCCGGGGUGAAAUCCCGGGGCUCAACCCCGGAACUGCCUUUGAUACUGGGUGGCUGGGGUAUGGAAGAGGUAAGUGGAAUUCCGAGUGUAGAGGUGAAAUUCGUAGAUAUUCGGAGGAACACCAGUGGCGAAGGCGGCUCACUGGCUCGAUACUGACGCUGAGGUGCGAAAGCGUGGGGAGCAAACAGGAUUAGAUACCCCGGUAGUCC
rnacentral:rRNA from 1 species